AUACGGAGGGGGCUAGCGUUGUUCGGAAUUACUGGGCGUAAAGCGCACGUAGGCGGAUUAAAAAGUUAGAGGUGAAAUCCCAGGGCUUAACCCUGGAACUGCCUUUAAAACUAGUAGUCUAGAGUUCGAGAGAGGUGAGUGGAAUUCCAAGUGUAGAGGUGAAAUUCGUAGAUAUUUGGAGGAACACCAGUGGCGAAGGCGGCUAACUGGCUCGAUACUGACGCUGAGGUGCGAAAGCGUGGGGAGCAAACAGGAUUAGAAACCCCAGUAGUCC
rnacentral:rRNA from 1 species